rnacentral:rRNA from 1 species
AUUGAACGCUGGCGGCAGGCUUAACACAUGCAAGUCGAACGGUAGCAGGAGAAAGCUUGCUUUCUUGCUGACGAGUGGCGGACGGGUGAGUAAUGCUUGGGAAUCUGGCUUAUGGAGGGGGAUAACGACGGGAAACUGUCGCUAAUACCGCGUAUUAUCGGAAGAUGAAAGUGCGGGACUGAGAGGCCGCAUGCCAUAGGAUGAGCCCAAGUGGGAUUAGGUAGUUGGUGGGGUAAAUGCCUACCAAGCCUGCGAUCUCUAGCUGGUCUGAGAGGAUGACCAGCCACACUGGAACUGAGACACGGUCCAGACUCCUACGGGAGGCAGCAGUGGGGAAUAUUGCGCAAUGGGGGGAACCCUGACGCAGCCAUGCCGCGUGAAUGAAGAAGGCCUUCGGGUUGUAAAGUUCUUUCGGUAUUGAGGAAGGUUGAUGUGAUAAUAGCACAUCAAAUUGACGUUAAAUACAGAAGAAGCACCGGCUAACUCCGUGCCAGCAGCCGCGGUAAUACGGAGGGUGCGAGCGUUAAUCGGAAUAACUGGGCGUAAAGGGCACGCAGGCGGUUAUUUAAGUGAGGUGUGAAAGCCCUGGGCUUAACCUAGGAAUUGCAUUUCAGACUGGGUAACUAGAGUACUUUAGGGAGGGGUAGAAUUCCACGUGUAGCGGUGAAAUGCGUAGAGAUGUGGAGGAAUACCGAAGGCGAAGGCAGCCCCUUGGGAAUGUACUGACGCUCAUGUGCAAAAGCGUGGGGAGCAAACAGG